rnacentral:rRNA from 1 species
AGUGAACGCUGGCGGUAGGCCUAACACAUGCAAGUCGAACGGCAGCACAGUAAGAGCUUGCUCUUACGGGUGGCGAGUGGCGGACGGGUGAGGAAUACAUCGGAAUCUACUUUUUCGUGGGGGAUAACGUAGGGAAACUUACGCUAAUACCGCAUACGACCUACGGGUGAAAGCAGGGGAUCUUCGGACCUUGCGCGAUUGAAUGAGCCGAUGUCGGAUUAGCUAGUUGGCGGGGUAAAGGCCCACCAAGGCGACGAUCCGUAGCUGGUCUGAGAGGAUGUUCAGCACACUGGAACUGAGACACGGUCCAGACUCCUACGGGAGGCAGCAGUGGGGAAUAUUGGACAAUGGGCGCAAGCCUGAUCCAGCCAUACCGCGUGGGUGAAGAAGGCCUUCGGGUUGUAAAGCCCUUUUGUUGGGAAAGAAAAGCAGCAGGUUAAUACCCCGCUGUUCUGACGGUACCCAAAGAAUAAGCACCGGCUAACUUCGUG